AGAACUUCAAAGACUUAGUGCUCAGGGGAUAUAAAAAUAAUGCAUUGUAUGCCGGAAGGGAUAAAUCUGGGGCUGAGUACAAGCAAAACAAGACCAAAGGAAGCUACCUGAGCAGGUAUUCCAGAUACUCAUGUCAUACACCAAGGUUGUACCAGUGCCCCUUUCUCUGUGACACAUCCAUCCACUGGAAACUUUCGUACAACUAGCUGAAAGAAGAGAAACAUCCUAUUUCAUGUCACUGGAGCCCUAAUGAUCGCAGCCAUUUCAGGAAAUGCCAUCAAUUACAGUGAGGAGCUCAUUCAGAAGUGAAAGAUGAGUUCCAUUCUCUGUUACUUAGAGGGUGGAUAUCCUCCUCCACUGAAUGCAAACUAUUAAGUAAUGAAAAGACAGCACUCCAAGCAAUAUAGAUUUAUAGGCCAACCUGGCAAUCAAGGGUAACUGACAUGAAAAUGGAUUGCUUCACAUUUUAAUUACAAAGAUACUCUUCAGUACCAUAAAUUGAAGAAAACACUAACUUUUUGUGGCUACUGUAAUUGUCAAAGUAUAAUUACCUGUGUUUUCUCACCUACGUAUUUGAGAUAGAGACAAAACCAAGUAAGUUAAUCCACUUAUAAUAAAAAUGUCUUCUGAGAAUAUA
rnacentral:lncRNA from 1 species